UGUUGUACAUGCUUUCUUCUCUUCAAUUCCUAGUGGUGCAUUCUGGCCAGUCUUAUUGAUACCUAAUAUUGCCGCCUUGAUUGCCAGCCGAGCAAUGACAACAGCAACAUUUUCGUGCUUAAAGCAAUCAUAUGCUCUUGGUUGUUUCCCUCGUCUUAAAAUCAUUUACACAUCUAAAAAGUUCAUGGGUCAGAUCUAUAUUCCUGUCAUAAACUGGUUCUUGCUGGGAGUUUGCCUGGUCAUGGUUUGCUUCAUCUCAAGCAUUAACGAGAUUGGAAAUGCCUACGGUAUAGCGGAGCUUGGAGUAAUGAUGAUGACCACUAAUUUAUUCACAAUUGUCAUGCUUCUCAUAUU